UUGUUUUUUUUUGCCUUUUUCACUCUCGCUCUCCCUUAGACAAUCUCUCCAGUCUCAGUUCCUCUCAUACCCAACCAAACCAGUAUCUAGGGUUUCUCCACUCUAGCAAUCACCCUCCGAUCCCCGAUUUCCCCUUAUUCAAACUCUAGAAACCCUCAUCUUCCCCUUUCCAAUUUCAAUCUCAAAUUCGAUCGCAGCGAUUCCCAAUUACAUGAACGCUCUCGAGUACUUCAAGACGCACCUCAAGUACGGGAACCCUAAGAUCAAGGAGGCCAUUACCCAGAAAUUCACCGAGUACUUGUGUCGCGCUGUUUUGGAUGACGGCAGUCCCGGCCCGGCCUCCAACGGUGAUGCGGCGGUGGCCAGCAGGCCGAAGACCAAGCCCAAGGACUAAAAAAGGCGACGACGGGGAGGAUCUGGAGCAGGCCAAGCUUAAUUCGGCGAUUUAUUAGGGAAAAAUCCAAUGUCAAGUGGAAUGAUGUGUUGGGUCUCAAGAGCUCUAAGCAAACCUUGCAAGAGGCGGUCAAGUUCCUUACUGCGCGAAUGUUUGCAUUACAGCAGUUACUAUUUUCUCAGACUAGUCGACGACAAUCAACUUAGUGAUUUUCUUUUUGCAGGUUUUCUUGUUUUUCCGUUUAGUUUCAGGGCUCAGAGUUUCAGGGCUCAUCAUUUGCAUGAUGGACAAGUUAAUUGACCUCAGAUGAUGCUAUGUAGUCAGUAAGAGUGGAGCUACUCCAGCAAUAAGUGUAUGAUGGUUGUAAAUGAGAAGUUUUGUGAUUAUCUCCCAAGUUUUUGACAUAGAUGAGAUGUCUUGAAUGAGAUUAUGUAAACUUUGAGUUAUUAAUCUUUAUGGAAUUUUCCAUAUGUAAUUAUUACUCUGAUUUAUAAUAAGAGUGAUUCAUUUACUCA